rnacentral:rRNA from 1 species
AUGGUUAAGUUAGAAAGGGCGCACGGUGGAUGCCUUGGCACUAGGAGCCGAUGAAGGACGGGACGAACACCGAUAUGCUUCGGGGAGCUGUAAGCAAGCUUUGAUCCGGAGAUUUCCGAAUGGGGAAACCCACUGCUCGUAAUGGAGUAGUAUCCAUACUUGAAUACAUAGAGUAUGAGAAGGCAUACCCGGGGAACUGAAACAUCUAAGUACCCGGAGGAAGAGAAAGCAAAUGCGAUUCCCUGAGUAGCGGCGAGCGAAACGGGAACAGCCCAAACCAAGAGGCUUGCCUCUUGGGGUUGUAGGACACUCUAUACGGAGUUACAAAGGAACGAUAUAAGCGAAGAGGUCUGGAAAGGCCCGCCAAAGAAGGUAACAGCCCUGUAACUGAAAUGUUGUUCUCUCCAGAGUGGAUCCUGAGUACGGCGGAACACGUGAAAUUCCGUCGGAAUCCGGGAGGACCAUCUCCCAAGGCUAAAUACUCCCUAGUGACCGAUAGUGAACCAGUACCGUGAGGGAAAGGUGAAAAGCACCCCGGAAGGGGAGUGAAAUAGAUCCUGAAACCGUGUGCCUACAAGUAGUCAGAGCCCGUUAAAGGGUGAUGGCGUGCCUUUUGUAGAAUGAACCGGCGAGUUACGAUCCCGUGCAAGGUUAAGCAGAAGAUGCGGAGCCGCAGCGAAAGCGAGUCUGAAUAGGGCGCAUGAGUACGUGGUCGUAGACCCGAAACCAGGUGAUCUACCCAUGUCCAGGGUGAAGUUCAGGUAACACUGAAUGGAGGCCCGAACCCACGCACGUUGAAAAGUGCGGGGAUGAGGUGUGGGUAGGGGUGAAAUGCCAAUCGAACCUGGAGAUAGCUGGUUCUCUCCGAAAUAGCUUUAGGGCUAGCCUCAAGGUAAGAGUCUCGGAGGUAGAGCACUGAUUGGACUAGGGGCCCCUACCGGGUUACCGAAUUCAGUCAAACUCCGAAUGCCGAUGACUUAUCC